AUGGCGGCGGCGGCGGACGCGACCACGGCCAUGACCAUCGACUUCCUCCGCGCGCGCCUCCUCUCCGAGCGCUCCGUCUCCCGCGCAGCCAAGGACCGCGCCGACCAGCUCGCCAACCGGGUCGCGGAGCUGGAGGAGCAGCUCCGGACGGUGACGGCCCAGCGCCGGGAGGCGGAGCGGGCCGCCGCCGGGGUGCUCGCCAUCCUCGACUCCCAGGGCUUCUCCGACGCCGCAGAUUCCGGCUCCGACGACGACGGCGCCGGCGGCGCCCCCGAGGCCCCCGGCCACGGGAGCGGCGGCGGGGAGGCGGAGGACGCGCUGUCGGGCUCGGAGCUCGGAGGCCCGGCCGGGGCGCCUCGGCCCGGGGGCCUCUCCUGGAAGGGCCGCGCCGCAAGCCCUGGCGCGGACAGGCGGCAUCCGAAUCUCAAAGCCAGGCAGCUCAGGCAGCGGCACGGCCAUGGCCACCGGAGGAGCUACUUUUACUUGCUCGCCGCGGAUUCCUCGCCCAAGUACCAGCCGGGCCAGUCCUGCCGGAAGAUCCGGAGAAAGGAGCCGAGGUUGCAGACUGAAGGUGGGGAUGGCAAGGGCAAUGCUGCCGAGGGUCUGGAGGAGGACCAGGGAAAAUCCGAUUGCACCGAUGAGCAGCAUGAUUUGGACGGUGAGGUGGGCCAAGACGGGCGAGGUGCUUGUGGUGGUAGUGAGUAUGAGAAGGGUGGGGAGAUGGAGAGAGUCCUCGAGAAUCAGGCUGCGCUGAUUGGGCAGUAUGAGGCACAAGAAAAUGCUCAGAGGGAGUGGGAGAAGAAAUUCAAUGGGAGCCGAGAUUCAACUUCGGAUGAUGUUGACCGAGAUAAUAAGUUAAAUCAGAAUGAAAAAGUUUGGGGACAGAGAGGCAGAGCUGCUCAGAUUGUGAAUAGAGAACUAGUUGGUGAAGAGACACGAUCAAGGGAUAAAAAAGAUCUCUCUGGAAUCAACAGUGCAUCGGAGUGUUUGUUGAACGAAUCUUCCUUUGGCUUGUCCACAAAUGCUCGAAAUGUAAGUGCUAUUGGGAAGUGUGAAGGAUCUGAUAAUGAUUUCGAGCGGGCUACUGCAGUAGUUGCUUCAGUUGUUGAUGAAUUGCAUGCUAGGAAGGAUGAGCUAGUACAUAAAAGUUAUACUGAAAUUAUUGAAGGGAGUGGGAAUAAUCUUGGAAGAUCAGCUUCUUCACCACAAAAAGGCUAUCAUAGCAGCCCAAAUGCAGUACAUAAUAAAGGUCAAGGAGACGGGAAUUCAGACAGUGGUUCCAGCUACCAUGGGAACGCUCACUCUUAUGAGCACUAUGUAACCACACCAUCACUUGGAAGUCCUUUAAGUGAUACCCCUAAAAGCAAAGUGUCCGAAUGGAGCUCGUCAUGCUUUCAUAACCAUACUGAUAACCAGAUUGACAUGCAGCCACCCACAAGUGAUGUUGUGGGAGGUGUUCUAGAGGCCCUUCAACGUGCCAAGAUGUCCCUCAGGGAAAAGCUGGGCAGGGCAAGUCCACCCAGGCAAGACAUGUUGGCACUUCCAGCACCAGAGGAUCACUACACAGAUGAUGAUUUGCAAGUCAACGACAUAGAACUUCCACUUUGCAUGUCACAACGGCUUAGCCAGGAGAUAUUGGCACUGCCAGCAUCAGAAGACUACCUUAGCAGGAUCAGUCUACCAGGUGAUGAUGCAAAGAUACCAGUUGGCCCUGCUGGCUUGUUCCGGUUGCCGACAGACUCGUUUCCCCAAGACGAGGUGUGUUCCGCUGAUGGCUAUCGCUCAAGGUUCAGUUUGACAUCAAGCCGGCAGGCCGUCUUUUCAAGAAACCCUGCUAGUCAUAUCGUGUUAACUUCAUCCCGCCCCCAGUAUGGUUCUGGUUUCUCACCGAAUCGAUAUUACAAUCUUCAUAAUUCAAUGUAG
rnacentral:rRNA from 1 species